AGAUAGAGGCGCGCUCUGUCAAGAGUACCGCACAUCACGGCUGCCGGAUCCGCGAUUUCACGAUUUCGGAUCAUCGCCGUGCGGGAAAGGGGCGGGCGCCGAAGCGGGACUUCCUGCGGCGGGAGGUUUCGCUGGCCGCGGGGAGAAGAUCCUCCCGGCUGUCGCAGAAAUGCGGAGCGCUAUCG
rnacentral:ncRNA from 1 species